rnacentral:rRNA from 1 species
AGUGAACGCUGGCGGUAGGCCUAACACAUGCAAGUCGAACGGCAGCACAGGAGAGCUUGCUCUCUGGGUGGCGAGUGGCGGACGGGUGAGGAAUACAUCGGAAUCUACUCUGUCGUGGGGGAUAACGUAGGGAAACUUACGCUAAUACCGCAUACGACCUACGGGUGAAAGCAGGGGACCUUCGGGCCUUGCGCGAUUGAAUGAGCCGAUGUCGGAUUAGCUAGUUGGCGGGGUAAAGGCCCACCAAGGCGACGAUCCGUAGCUGGUCUGGGAGGAUGAUCAGCCACACUGGAACUGAGACACGGUCCAGACUCCUACGGGAGGCAGCAGUGGGGAAUAUUGGACAAUGGGCGCAAGCCUGAUCCAGCCAUACCGCGUGGGUGAAGAAGGCCUUCGGGUUGUAAAGCCCUUUUGUUGGGAAAGAAAUCCAGCUGGCUAAUACCCGGUUGGGAUGACGGUGCCCAAAGAAUAAGCACCGGCUAACUUCGUGCCAGCCGCCGCCGUAA